UGUCUCUUAUUCUUGCACUACCCCCCAUACACCCCCCAUCCCUCAACCAAUUCGUUGAAAACAAGGUUACCUCAGAGGACAGCAUGUUGUGUACUAUUUAAGCUAUUUGACUACUAAGCAAACUCCAAAGAGUGUGUAUUACUGACAACAUUUUGGCUUGGGAUCUCACAGCCCAAUUCUGCCUAUUGGAGAGAAUAUGAGGAAACUAAGGCCCAGGAAAGCUAGGUGCCUAAAGUCAAG